UCGAGAAUCUUCGGCAAUGGACGAAAGUCUGACCGAGCGACGCCGCGUGCGGGAUGAAGGUCUUCGGAUUGUAAACCGCUGUCAGAGGGGAUGAAGUAUACGAGAGCUAUCUCUCGUAUUUGACAGAGCCUCAGAGGAAGCACGGGCUAAGUUCGUGCCAGCAGCCGCGGUAAUACGAACUGUGCGAACGUUAUUCGGAAUCACUGGGCUUAAAGGGUGCGUAGGCGGUUUUCUAAGUCACGUGUGAAAUCUUCCGGCUCAACCGGAAAACUGCGCGUGAUACUGGAUAACUUGAGUGAGGUAGGGGUGUGUGGAACUUCCGGUGGAGCGGUGAAAUGUGUAGAGAUCGGAAGGAACGCCAGCAGCGAAAGCGGCACACUGGGCCUUUUCUGACGCUGAG
rnacentral:rRNA from 1 species